ACAAGCAGCGGAGCGUGUGGUUUAAUUCGAUGCUACACGAAGAACCUCACCAGGGUUUGACAUGUUAGAAGUAGUGAACCGAAAGGGGAUCGACCUGUUAAGUCAGGAGCUAUCACAAGGUGCUGCAUGGCUGUCGUCAGCUCGUGCCGUGAGGUGUAUGGUUAAGUCCUGCAACGAGCGCAACCCUUAUUGCCAGUUAUAUUCUCUGGCGAUACUGCCUCGCAAAACGGGGAGGAAGGUGGGGAUGACGUCAAGUCAGCAUGGCCUUUAUACCCUGGGCUACACACACGCUACAAUGGACGGUACAAUGGGUUGCCACCGGGCGACCGGGAGCUAAUCCCCAAAACCAUCCUCAGUUCGGAUCGCAGGCUGAAACCCGCCUGCGUGAAGUCGGAGUUGCUAGUAAACGCGUGUCAGCAUAGCGCCGUUGAACCUACGUCCUCGGCCUU
rnacentral:rRNA from 1 species